rnacentral:rRNA from 1 species
GAUGAACGCUGGCGGCGUGCUUAACACAUGCCAGUCGAACGAAGCACUUUAUUUGAUUUCCUUCGGGACUGAUUCUUUUGUGACUGAGUGGCGGACGGGUGAGUAACGCGUGGGUAACCUGCCUUGUACAGGGGGAUAACAGUUGGAAACGGCUGCUAAUACCGCAUAAGCGCACAGCAUCGCAUGCUGCAGUGUGAAAAACUCCGGUGGUAUAAGAUGGACCCGCGUUGGAUUAGCUAGUUGGUGAGGUAUCGGCCAACCAAGGCGACGAUCCAGAGCCGACCUGGGGGGGGGACCGGCCACAAUGGAACUGAGGCACGGCCUAAACUGGUACGGGAGGGAGCGGUGGGGAAUAUUGCACAAUGGGCGAAAGCGUGAUGCAGCGGCGCCGCGUGAGCGGAGAAGUAUUUCGGUAUGUAAAGCUCUAUCAGCAGGGAAGAUAAUGACGGUACCGGACUAAGAAGCACCGGCUAAAUACGUG